UACGGAGGGGGCUAGCGUUGUUCGGAAUUACUGGGCGUAAAGCGCACGUAGGCGGCUUUGCAAGUUAGAGGUGAAAGCCCGGGGCUCAACUCCGGAAUUGCCUUUAAAACUGCAUCGCUAGAAUUGUGGAGAGGUAAGUGGAAUUCCGAGUGUAGAGGUGAAAUUCGUAGAUAUUCGGAAGAACACCAGUGGCGAAGGCGGCUCACUGGCCCAUACUGGACGCUGAGGUGCGAAAGCGUGGGGAGCAAACAGG
rnacentral:rRNA from 1 species